GAGCUUUGGGGUGCCCACCAGUCAGCGAGUUUCGCCCACUGGUGCGAUUGGC
rnacentral:sRNA from 2 species